rnacentral:lncRNA from 1 species
AAAAAUAUAGGGUCUCCUUCAUUAAAAGAUCAGCCAAAAAAACACUCCAUGACAGCCCAAAUUUCAACUCCAGAAAGCUAGGAAAAUCAGCAGCAACAAUACAAACAAGAGAACAACCCUUCACAACCUAAAAAACGUAAGAUGCUCCUUCAUUUUCACAAAGAAAAAUGACUCUAUCUCCCCCUCCAACUCCAACUCCAGCCGCUGGAC